ensembl:lncRNA
AAAGAGUCCUCAGAUGAUUAAUGGGGGAAAAAAAGUAAGAAUUUGGAAGUUUUGGUGAAGUAUUGGAUCAAUUAUGGAACUGAAACCACAUGAGAGGCAAAAAUAACUAUUUGAUGGAGCUCAGAGACAUUUCAAAUGUGACCUCGACAACACAGUGACUUAGACAGAUGCCAGAAAUUACAGUUUUAGAAGCACUGGUUUAAUUUUUAACAAUGUGUUGUAUUUUAAAAGCUUGUCAUAUUAUUCAUUGUGUAAAAUCUCAAAAGUCAAUAAAGGUUCCAGAUGGAAGUGGUGGGGUGGAAGGUACAAUAUGUCCCUCUGAAAUGUGGUGGAAUGUAAAGUAGCAUGACAUUUGUUUUUUUUUUUUAAAGUUGUACAAGGUCAUACCUCAGAGUUGUACUUAAGUACAGCACUAAAGGGUAAAUGUGCUAAAUUCCUGCUGGUUAACAAGCAGAUAGAUAAACAAUUGUAAAAUUGUUCAUUAGAGAACCCUGGUAUGGUUAACCUAAACUCAUUUGAUUUGUCCCAGUCUUCUAUAAUUUUUCCUACUACAAACUUAAAUAUUUCCCUGUCAGAAUCACCUGGAUAUUUAACUGUUCAAUUAUAUAAUUUGUAGAUUAUUAUGGUAAAAUUCUGGUUUCAUAAGAAAAAUCUAAUUCCUGCACACCUGCACUACACUCUCCCGAUUAAUUUAUGAAAGAUUUUUUUUUUUAAAAUCUAAAAUAAACAGAAACAGGUCCAAGGGACAUGUCUUAACCUUUUACCUCCAUUUAUGUGUUCAGUUUUGUCUCAUUUUCCUUGUCUGGUGGCCAACAAACGGUGAUCUGGUCUUACAUAUUCCCAGUGCAGCUACAAUUGAUUUGAACCAGAAAAAGACCGACAAUCCAAAACCCAAACACUAUUGUCCCUUGGAAUCAAAGCACAACGCUUCUUCUGAGUAACUAUUUUGAGUGCCAAAUAAGAAUCACUUAGGGAGAGUGUAAGAAAAUCACUCACUGCAGCAGACAUCUCAGGAAAAUGGGUUUACCAAAAAAUAGAAAAUACAGCAUCAAGUCAGUCACUGGAGUGUCG